AUCUAUGUGUGUGUAACAAAUGAAGCUCGGAUGAGGGUAGGGUCGCUCUUUUCAAAAUGAUUUUUUUUAAGAUCUUCUGAAGAAGCUUCUCAAGUAUUAACAUUUGUCAGCUCCAGGAAGAAACCAAAAAAAAAAAGCAGCAA